GGGGUACACCUAGUUACAUUCCGAACCUAGAAGUUAAGCCCAUAUACGCUGAUGGUACUUGGCUGGAAGCGGCCUGGGAGAGUAUGGAUUUGCCAAGC
rnacentral:rRNA from 2 species